CAACAUGAAGCAUCCUGCUCUUACCAGGAACGAUGACUUAUGCCUCAUUGCCUACUUUGAUACCCUCCCGUAUGAGGAGGGAACUCCUCUGUCGCCCAUCUACGAAGAAGACGGCUUCACAGAGGUCAUCACGUCAAGUUCGGGAUGCUAUUCUCCAGAGUGGGAACUCUUCGCCCUCAUUGUUGUGCAAGAAGGUGAAGAGGAAGAGCAACCAGAAAGGAAUCUGUGACAUGAACGUCACCCGGAUGACGUCUCGCAGGAUGAGCUCACCACCAACUUCGUCAGAGAAGAAACUGAAGCUCAAAGAACUCAACGGCCAGCAAGAAACACUACAAGAGCAGAGCAUUGCCGCCACCUUGCAACCAACUUGCCAAUCGUGAACUUGGAUCACGCGUUUGAAGCAGUUCAAUCACGUCAACAUCGUACUUCUCUUGCCACCAUCACAUCCAUUGAUCUCAUUACUCAAGCGAUGCCACAAAACAAGUACACUAGGCAACUAGCUGAGCUGGCGGAGCGCGCGUACGAGCAACUUAAUUAGCAAAACCCAAUGCACUCAGUUCCAC
rnacentral:lncRNA from 1 species